CUUUCUGAACUCAAGCUCUAGGAACCAGGAGACAGCGGUGCCCGGCGCAGGCAGAGCGCCCUCGGAGGCGGACACCUGGCACCCACAUCCCGCCAUGGUGCGCUCCCCCAGCCGGCGGCUGUCGCCGGUGGUCUUGCUGCUGCUGAUGAUGUUGCUGCCCCUUGGAGCUGGUGAGUGUAGUCUGUGGGUAGGUGCAGCUGGAACCCGCCGGUGCUGCAGGGAGGGGCAGGUGGAGGUGAGCUUGUAGGCGGGACACAGUGGGUGCAGCUGCCUCCAGGUCCCGUGUCUGUGUCAGUUCUGGAGUCUGGGAAACUGGAGGAGGAAGACCAGAGGGCCCUGAAUACCAUGCCUAAUACUGUGGCUGAACUCAUAUAGAUUGAGUGCCAGCAUUGAGCUGGAUAAACAAGCAUCUCCUUGCUCCUUGUUCUCCCCCUUCUCUCUUUUGUGACUCAUCUACACAAUUAUAAAAUAACCUGCAGCCAGUCUACUAUAAGACAGCAUCUCUAGGAAGCAAGAAGAAUCUGAUCAUGGGCUGGACUGCCAUUUCCUCUAAGCGGCCUUCAACUUCUCUUCACGCCCUUUGAGGUUGUAAGCUGGCCAGAACUUGCUAACAUCAUCAUUUGGUUGUGUGUUGAGAAUUUGAAAACUACCCAACUCCACCAUACCAUAUACUUAAUUAUUAUUAUUACUGUUUUUUUUUCAAACCAGAGAUUGAACCUAGAGGAUUUACCCACUAAGUCACACCCCAAGCACCGCCCCCUUUUUAAUUUUUAAAAAAUUUGAGACAAGGUUUGGCAAGUUGCUUAGAGCCUUGCUAAGUUCCUGAGACUGGUUUCAAACUUGAAGUCCUCCUGUCUCAGCCUCCAGAGUCUCUGGGAUUAUAGGCUUGGUCCAUCAAGCCAGGUUAAAUGUUUACUUUUUCAAUUGGUGCAGAAGACGCCUUGUUGAGCCAGAUGAUCUUUUCCUACAAGCCACAGCCUGGCUUUAGCACCACGCCAUUCCCCUGAAGAAGAGCAGUCUAGGCUCCAGCCUGCCUAGAAAAAUGCCCCAUGGCCUUGGGGAAUGGGAUUAGGUACAUGGACUGUCAUUCUGGGGCUCCUACCAGAACCUGAGUGAAGAGAAUCCCAAGGCAGAGGCCACACACAUUUCCCAUCACCUUUCACAUUGUGGGACUAUAGAAAUACAAUCUUGGCUGUGAGACAGUUAAGGAAGGAAGGAGGGAAAAGACUGGUUUGUCAAGACUGGUUCAAUCAGCAAAUCUGGGGAGCAAGACAUCACCAAUUUGAAUUAACUGUCUAGGAAAUUUCACUAACUCUAAUGUAUGGCUUUGUGUCAGGAUCAGGGAUAAACACUAAACACCUUCCUCAUUAACUAAUUCAGGGAAGCAGUAUAGCUGGCAGAUCCAUAUUUUAUAGUAUUUAAUAGCAGUGAUUUCUGAUUAAGUGGCUUUGUUGAAAAUCCUUAACACAAUCAUCCAGGAGCUGCUAUGUAGGGUCAAGUGCUGCCCAGACCAAUUGCUGGUUUUAACAAUUAGGUAAAAAAUACCACUGCUUGGGCCCCAGUAGAGCCAAGCAUAAAGGAGACAACUAACACCCAGGAAAGUAGCAUCAUGUACUGAAAAUCAUUCUAAAAUAGGUUGGAGCUAGGACUUCUUGAUUCUAACCUCAAUCUGGUCUUAGCUUGCUAUAUCUCUUAAUGCAUCGUACUUUUCUUGUUUAUUCAUCCAUAAAAUGGGUGCCCAAGCUAUGGGCCUCUCUUCUUUUCUAUGGAGAAAAACAAAUGAGGAUCUUAUGCAUAGACUUAUCUUCUUCAUUUGCUACUACUCAUUCUCUGAUGAACCAAGAAAAACUCAGGAGGUCAAGCUGCUGACUAAGUGAGAAAUAGACAUAGCAGUGGUAGCAUAAAGGAGGAGGUAGUGAAGGUGUGAUAGAGAAUGUAGGGACUGUGACAAAUUGAAUAGCACAUGACUUGCUGAAAGGAGGCAGUCAUCACACAACUCCAUUUGUUAUAUUGUGGGCAUGUAGGCCCACAGUGUUUUAUAUUUGAAGAGAAAUUGGGAGUCCAUAGUUUUAUGUGAAAUCUUCUGGUUUUUAAAUGUUGACCACUAGUCACGACUUUAAGAAGACCAAAACCCUGUCUCAAAUUUAAAAAUAGCUGGGGGAGGGGGUUGGGGCUAUAGCUCAGUGGCAGAGCAUUUGCCUUGCAUGUGUGAGGGACUAGGUUCGAUCCUUAGCACCACAUAAAAAUAAACAAAAUAAGGCAUUCUGUCUAUCCACAACUACAAAAAAAUUUAAAAAAAUAUUUGGGGGGCUGAGUGCGGUGGUACAUGCCUGUAAUUUCAGCAGCUCAGGAGGCUAAGGCAGAGAGAUUGCAGGUUCAAAGCCAGUCUCAGCAAUUUCCCCUGGGGUCAAUCCCCAGUACCCCCCAAAAAAGAAUAAAGUUAGAGAGGUUUUUUUUUUGAAAAUGGUUGUGAUUCAAUAUUUAAGUUCAGAUAAAUAUUCACUUAUUCCAGUAACAACAAUGACUUGAACCUGCUAUUUCUUUCAGUGACCUUUUACUGAGUACAUACCUGGAGUAGCAUCUUUUUUCUUUUAAAUAUAUAUAUUUUAGUUGUAGUUGGACACAAUACCUCUAUUUUGUUUAUUUUUAUGUGGUGCUAAGGAUUGAACCCAGGGCCCCACACGUGCGAGGUGAGCGCUCUAAUGCUGAGCCACAACCCCAGCCCUAGAGUAGCAUCUUAAAGUUUUAGAAUUUCUCAACCUAUUUAAAUCCAUGUCCCCUUUUUGGUUAAGGUUUUAAAAUCUCAUACUUAAAUUUCAACUUCCAGCCCUUUUAAUUUUACUUUAUGGUACCGGGAUUGAACCUGGGGUACUUGAACACUGAGCCACAUUCCAGCCCUUUUCUUUUGAGACAGGGUCUCACUAAGUUUCUUAGGGCCUUACUAAGUUGCUGAGGCUGACUUUGGACUUGCAAUUCUUCUGCCUCAGCCUCCUAAGCCACUGGGAUUAGAGGCAUGAACCACAGUACAUGGCCCUUUUAUUUUUUUAUUUUGAGAUGGGCUCAACACUAAGUUGCCAAGAUUGACCUUGAGCUUGCAAGCCUUCCAAAUCUCUGGGAUCUCUGUUCUACCAUGGCUGGCUAAUAUUUUUUUUUUAAGAGAGAGAGAGAGAAAUUUUUAAUAUUUAUUUUACAGUUUUCGGUGGACACAACAUCUUUAUUUUUUAUUUUAUGUGGUGGUGCUGAGGCUCGAACCCAGCACCCCACGCAUGCCAGGCGAGCGUGUUACCGCUUGAGCCACAUCCCCAGCCCUGGCUAAUAUUUUUUUGAAAUUUGAAACUUUUUUUUAUCUUGCACACAUAAAAUUACCAAAUAUGCUUUUUAUAUUCUCCCUCCCUCCCUUCUUGCUUCUCUCUCUUUUUUUUUUUUUUCUUUUUCUUUCCCCUCCCUCCCACUUGAAGUGAUCCUCCUGUUCUCCUUCCUGUGUGGCUAGGACUAUAGGCACAUACCACUGCAUUAGGCUUAAAUAUGCUUUUUAAAACUAUGUAGUCCCUUUAGAAAUUCUGAUAUAUCCCUAAAAGAAAGCUAUCAUUUCUUUUUCAUCCCUUCCAUUAAAGGAUAGAAUCCAGUAUCUCUCUCACUUUUAUUUUCUGGGAAACAAACCCAGGGCUUCAUGCAUGCUAGGCAAGCACUCUACCACUGAGCCACAUCCCCAGCUCAGUUCCCCAUUUUACUGUUAAAGAAACUAAAGUCCAGAAAGUGAAUUGUCCCAGGCCAGGCUGAGACUAGAAUGAGGCAAGUGAAAGAAAUGUCAAGAAACUGAAAAACAAAAAACAAAAAAUAGAAACUGAUUAGUCAGGCGAUGGUGGUACAUAUCUGUAAUCCUGGUGGCUCAGGAGGCUGAGACAGGAGGAUCAUAGGUUUGAAGCCAGCCUCAAGAAUUUAGCAAGACUAUGCAACCUAGUGAGAACCUGUCUUAAAAUAAAAAGGGAUUAAGUCUUAUAAAGGUCUUAUAAAUCAGAGUAUAUAGCCAGGCAUGGUGGCCCAUGCCUGUAAUCCCAGCAACUCAGGAGGCUGAGGCAAGAGGAUCACAAGUUCAAGACCAUCCUAAGCAAUUUAAGGAGACCCUGUCUCAAAAUAAAAAAAGAACUGUGGAUGUAGCUCAGUGCUAAAGUGCAGUGCCCCUGGGUCCAAUCCCUAGUCAUCCCCCCCCCCCCAAAAAAAAAACUAGAAUUAUGCUUAUAUAAUGGCAUUCUAUGCAACAAUGAAAUUAUACUAUUUACUACUAUCCUUGCCUAUACAGGUGAAUUUUACAAACAAAAGAAUCCAAUGCCUAGCACAAUGGCACAUACCUAUAAUCCCAGCUACUUAGAAGGCUAAGGCAGAAGGAUCACAAGUUUGAGGCCAAACUGGCUAACUUAGACCCUGUCUUAAAGUAAAAUUAAAAAUAUUUGGGGAUAUAGCUCAGAGAUAGAACACUCCUGAGUUCAAUCCCAGUGAUGAAGAAAAGAAAGCAUAUUACUAAACAAAAUGUACAAAUGGAUAAUAAGAACAUAAAAAUAUGCUCAAUAUCCUUAGUUAUUAGGGAAAUGCAAAUUAAAAACACAGUGAGAUAACACUUCAUACCCACAAGGAUGGCCAUAAUUUUAAAAAGUGGAAAAUAAUGAGAGUUGUCAAGUAAGUAUAGAAGCUAGGCUCUUCAUAUAUUGCUAGUGGGAAUGUAAAAUGUUUAUGACUACUGGCAGAUCCAGUCUGGCAGAUCCCCAGAAAGUUAAACAGAAAAUUACUGUAUGACCCAGCAGCUCUACUCCUAGGUAGAUAUCCAAACAAAUUGAAAACAGGUGUUCAAACAAAUGCUUGUAUAUGAAUGAUACCAGUUACAUAUAACCAAAGAAGCAGUCACAAUAAACAAAGGAUGGAAACAAAUGCCCAUCAAUUAAUGAAUGGACAAAAAAAAUGUGGCAUACCCAUGCAAUGAAAUAGUCAUCCAUAAAAAUGAAUGAAGCAUUGACACAAACUAUGGAUGGACCUCAGAAACAAUAUGCUAAACUGGGCACAGUGGUGCGCGCCUGUUAUACCCUAGUGGCUUGGGAGACUGAGACAGGAAGAUCAUGAGUUCAAAGCCAGCCUCAGCAAUUUAGUUAGGCCCCAAACAACUCAGUGAGACCCUGUCUCUAAAUAAAAUACAAAAUAGGGCUAAGGAUGUGAAUCAGUUGUCCAGUGAAUGCCUCUAAAUUCAAUCCCUGGAACGCCCCCCCCCCCAAAAAAAAAAAAACACACUAAUAUGCUAGGUGAGAAAAGCCAGAUAUUAAAGAUCAAAUGUGUUAGCCAGGCACUGAUGUGCACACCUAUAACCCCAGCAUUUGGAAGGCUGAGGAGGAAGGAUCAUAAUUUUGAGACCAACUUUUAGCAAUUUAGUAAGACUGUCUCAAAAUUUAGUAAGACUCUGUCUCAAAAGGGCUGGGGAUACAGCUCAGUGGUAAAGCACCCUGGGUUCAAUACCCAGUACCAAAAAUAAAGAUCAAGCCAGACACAGUGGCUCACACCUGUAAUUGGAGGAUGAGGCAGGAGGAUCAUGAGUUCAAAGCCAGCCUCAGCAAAAGCAAGGUGCUAAAUAACUCAGUAAGACUCUCUCUAGAUAAAAUACAGAAAAGGACUGGGGUUGUGGCUCAGUGGUUGAGUGCCCCUAGGUUCAAUCCCUGAUACCACCCCCCCACACAAAAAAAUAAAAGAUAAAAGAUCCAGCAAAAUUGAGUAAUACUCUUUCAAUAAAAUAUAUAGGAUAGGGCUGGAGUUGUGGCUCAGUGGUAGAACACUUGCCUAGCAUGUGUGAGGCCCUGGGAUCAAUCCUCAGCACCAUAUAUAAAUAAAUAAAUUAAAUAAAAGAUCCAUUUACAGCUAAAAAAUAUUUUUAAAAAAAGAAAAAAGAAAUAUAUAGGAUAGGUAAAUCCAUAGAGACAGAAAGGAGACUACUGGUUCUCAGAGGCUGAUGGAGAGAAGAGUGAAAUAACGAGUGCUUGUUUAAUGGGUAUGUUGUUUCCUUUUGGGAUGAAUGAAAAUGUAUUGGAAUUAGAAGUGAUAGUUCAACAACAUUGUGAAUAUUCUAAAUGCCACUUAGUUGUGUACUUUAAGAAACUUAAUUUUGUGUGAAUUUUACCUCAAUAAAAAGCUUUCCAAUUAAAAAUUUUUAUUUAAAAAGAUAUUAAGGGGCUGGGGUUGUGGCUCAGAGGUAGAGUGCGUGCCUAGCAUGUGUGAGGCACUGGGUUCGAUCCUUAGCACCACAUAAAGUAAAAUAAAGACAUUGUGUCCACCUAUAACUAAAAAAAAAUAAAUAUAAAAAAUAAAGAUAUUAAGAUUGUGUGAAGGAAUGAGUUUGGAAGAUGAAAUCAGUGAGACCAGUAAGGAGGUCUGGCUAAAGAGACAGACAUGAAAAAAAGUAAAAAAGAAAUAUCACCAUACUUUUCCAAGACUCAAGAGUAUGGAGAGCUUUUAUGCAUGAAUCAGUAGAUGAAUGAUGGGCAGGCGAUAGCAAAACUGAACAGAACAGGCAGGGGCAAACCAAACCUAAAUAAAAAAGUAGACAGAUUCCACAUAUGUUGUGGAGUUAAUGGGACUUUUUUUUUUUAAUUGAAUUUAGGAUGUAAAGGAGGUUCUGUGGGACUUCUUUCUCUCCACAUCAUUCCUAAAGGCAAUUUGUGCUACCCUAAGAUUUUCUCAAGGUUUCAUCAGGAAUCUCCCCAAUCCUACCUCACAAUUGGCUUAAUACUUCUAGACAGCUACUCUGAUCAUAUGUGACCCUCAUCUGAUCUCUCCACAGGAGACUCCCUUCCCACAGAGAGCCGGUUCAAGAACAGUUGUAUCCAGGCCAGGAGGAAGUGCCAGGCUGAUCCCACUUGCAAGGCUGCCUACCACCACCUGGGUUCUUGCACCUCUAGUCUAAGCACCCCAUUGCCCUUAGAGGGGUCUUCUUUCCCUGCAGACUGCCUAGAGGCAGCAGAGAAACUCAGGAACAGCUCUCUGAUGGGCUGUACAUGCCACCGACGCAUGAAGAAUCAAGCUACCUGCCUGGACAUCUAUUGGACCAUUCAUCCUGCCCGCAGCAUUGGUGAGACCUCCAUCCUAAAGUGGACUAAGCUGAGGAGGAUGGCUCUUGGAAUUUCUUUUCUUCUUCUUCUUCUUCUUUUUUUUUUUUUAAAUAUUGAUGUGGGGUUGGGGUUGUGGCUCAGCAGUAGAGUGCUCACCCAGAACGUGCAAGGCCCUGGGUUCGAUCCUCAACAUCAUAAAUAAAUAAAGAUAAAUAAAUGGCUACAACUAAAAAAUAAAAAAAUUAUAUUUGAUGCAUAUACCUAAACCUGAGCAUUGCUUUUUUUUUUUUUUUUAAUGUGGUGCUAGGGAUUGAACCUAGGACCUUGUGCAUGCAAGGCAAACAUUCUACCAGCUGAGCUAUAUCCCCAGCCAUCUGUUUUGUUUACUACUGGGUAUUGAGCCCAGAGGCACUCUACUACUGAGCGAUAUCCCCAGCCCUUUUUACUUUGAAACAGUCUUACUAAAUUGCCCAGGCUGAGGCAGGACCUGCCUCAGCUUCCUGGGAUUACAAGUGUGCCCCACUUUGGGAGUUGUUUUUCAGUUCUGCAGGAUAUGGGCCACAUGGUAGAUUCUGAUGGGGAUGACAAUGAACCUCUGCAUUUGGCACCAGUAAGAGAUGGAGGGAAAAAUUGGCAGUGUCCCUUUGGGCCCUCAAAACACUGCCCUCACUUUUUCCUCUUUUUUUACCUGUGGUUUCCUCUUGACAGAGUUCUAAACCAGGCACAGGCUCAACCUGGGGAGUUCCUAGAGCAGAAAGAUACAGAGAGGAGUAGAGAAAAGCAGUUUUAACUCCAAAUAUCAUGUAAUCCACAAGUUCAGAGACUGAGUGGUAUCAUCUCAGGCCAGCCUUUAGCAGAAAUGAUAUGAUUAACAGAACUGGAGAUGGAUGAUAAAAGUCACAAAAAAAGCCAAAGAGAAGCGCUACCUUUGACCCCUUCUAUAGGCCUUUUUCCUUAUUAAUCAGCUUUUAUUGGACUAUCUUGCAAAACAAAGAUUUAGUUCUUGCUCAUGUUCUGAGCUGACUGUUUUCAUGUGUCUUUGUUAUUCUGGGAUCCAGGCUAAAGGCACAGCCUUUUGUGGGAUGUUCCCUUCUCAUGGUGAAGGAAAUGAGCAUUGGUAAACCAUACAAUGCUUUUAAAAGCCUCUGUUUAAGCCAGGCAUGGUGGCACACACCUAUGAUACCAGCUACUUAGGAGGCUAAGGCAUGAGGAUCACAAGUUUGAGCCUUGCAACUUAGUGAUCACCUGUCUCAAAUAUAAAAAGGGCUGGGAUUGUAGCCCAGUGGUAGAGCACUCUGUGUUCAAUCCCUAGUACCAAAACAACAACAUCAGAACCCUGCUCAAAUGUUACAAAUUCCAAAGAGACAAUAAUCUGACCAAGCCUCACAUCACUAGAUUAGGGAAGUAUACUCCUCCCAUAGGGAGAAAUAAAAAAACAGCAUGGCAAAACUGGACCUAGUGGCACAUACCUAUAAUCCCAGCAACUCAGGAGACCAAGGCAGGAAGAUUGCAAGUUUGAACCAGUCUUAGCAACUUAGUGAGACCCUGUCUCAAAAAGGCCUGGAGAUAUAUAGCUCAAUGGUAAAGCAUUCCUGGGGUUCAAUUCCCAGUAGCAAAAAAAUUAAAAAGUAAUAAAUAAAUCACAUGACAAUAAGUGAAGACAUUUAAUCUUAUAGGGAGGGCAAAGAAUAAUUGGAAACAAUAAUACAAUUUACCACAGUUUACAGCUUGAUAAAAAUAUUAAUUUCCCCUCCUUCCACAAGUAAUAUAUACCCACCUAAUUUUCCAAGGAAGAUGUCCUAAAAAUUCUAUCAGAACAUGACAUCAAGCUCUAAGUCUAGGAUCUUAGGAUCUCAUGAUAGUUUCUAUAUUGUUUUUUGUUUGUUUGGUUGUAGUUUGAGAUAGGGUCUCCCUAAGUUGCUGAGACUGGCCUCAAACUUAUGAUCCUCCUGCCUCAGCCUCUAGAUUUGUUGGGAUUACAGGCAUGUGCCACCAUGCCUAACCCUAGUUUAUAUUUUUUUUAAAUAUUUAUUUUUUAGUUGGAGGUGGACACAAUAUCUUUAUUUCAUUUUUAUGUGGUGCUGAGGAUUGAACCCAGUGCCUCACGCAUGCUAGGCGAGCACUCUACCACUGAGCCACAACUCCAGACCCCCUAGUUUAUCUUUAUGAACUAAAAAGGUCAUUUGCCUCCCAUACAUACUCAGUGUACAAUAAUAGAACAGGCUCAGGAUAACUACAACAAACACUUUCAGAAUGGGAAGGAAUGAGAGGCACACAGCAGACAUUGAUUCGAAGAAUUCUAAAAUUUUGCUAGGCAGAUUUUGCAAGGGUCCUCUUCUCUGGGGAUCAAACCCAGGGUCUCACACAUGCCAGGCAAGUAAUCAUCCACUGACCACAUUUCCAACCCAGGCUUAUUCUAUAAGAAGACCCCCCCCCACUCACCCUUUUUUUUUUUUUUUCCUCUGUGGGAGUAGCUGCCCUAUCCAUUGUUCUUCAAGGUUCUUGGCUCAACCCUCUGGGAGAUCCUGGCUUUUCCAUUAUUCUCUUUACCACAUUUGAAAAGGGCAUUGGAGACUACAACCUCUGGGACUGGAGAAGCAUUCUUAUCUAUUUCCUGUCUGAGGAAUGUUGGGGCAUUUUAAGCCUCAAAUAGUCACAGUCUCUUUUAAUCCAGGCUGUUAGCUGUUAGAAGUACAAGUCUCUCAAAAAGUAAUUGCUUUUUAUAUCUUUGAUUCCUUCAUCUCAUGUGCCAGUAGCCUUUCCUACAAGACAUGCACCUCUUUCUAAACCUAAUUAGAAGUUCCCUGUCCCUAUCAGACCUCUAUGGGAGAGUCACUACUUUAGUUUUCUUUCCCUGAGUACAUUUGUCCAACUGGCAGAUCUAUUUGGUACCAUCUUAAUCAAUUGAGAAAUCUUUAUAAACUCCAGGAUAGCCACAUACUUAAUUUGGUCUUUCCCCCAAGCCUGAUUGUUAUCAACUUUAUCACUCAAAGCAUUUUCAAUUUUAUCUUUUACCAUUUGAAUAUGAGAUAUAGUUGCUGCAUCUCUUAAUCCUUCAAGUCUUGGAAUUUCUGGAUUCUUUUGUCCAUAUCCUCCCUACUUGCAAACCAGCCAAUUCUUUUAUUUUUUAUUUUGUCAAGACACUUUUUCACUACAUCCAGGCUGGUCUUGAACUCCUGGACUCAAGGAAUCCUCCUGCCUCAGCCUCUCUAGUAGCUGGGUCUGCAGACAGGCACCACCAUGCCUAUCUGCUAAACUGGCCAAUUCUUUUCUGAGCUUCUGUUUUUCUCUUAAUACCUUGCCAAAUGCAGCCAGUAGCAAUCAAGACACACUAGUAACCUUCUGCUUUUCGGCUUCUUCCCCUUAAAACACAAGUUCGUUCAGCAUAAACUCAUCUUCCUUCCAAAUUAUUGGGGGAAAUAAUUUAUCAAAUGCUUUGUUACUGCAUAAUGAAGACUACCUUUUUUCCAGCCCCCAGAAAGCUUCUUCUCUAUCCACUGCCCAGUCCCAAAGAAUUGCUACAUAUUUGGAUUUUUGUUCCUAAAGCAAUCUACCUCUAGGUAAAAAUUGCAUUUUUUCUUCCCCUUACCCCAAUUGUUUUUGUUUUGCUUUGUUUUGUUUUUGUGGUACUGGGAAUCAAACUCAGGGCCUCAAGAGUACUAAGCAGCAUUCGACCACUGAACAACACUUCCCAACGCCCUAAUUGCAUUGCUUUUGUGUGUUGGGGGUACUGGGGAUUGAACCCCAGGGGCACUUUACCGCUGAGCUACACCCCAGCUCUUAUUUUUUAUUUUGAGUGGUUUCUCACUCAGUCUUUCUGAGUUAGUGAGGCUAAACUCAAAUUUGCAAUCCUCUUCCCUCAGUCUCUUUUUUUGUUGGGAUUACAGGUGUGUGUGUCACUAUACCCAGCCUCCAGUUGCUUUUUUGUUUUUGGUACUAGGGAUUGAACCCAGGGACACUUUACCACUAACCUACAUCUCCAAUCUUUUUUACUUUUUAUUUUUGACUGAGUUUCGCUAAAUUGCUGAGAUUGGCCCAGAACUUGCAAUCCUCCUGCCUUAGCCUCCCAAAUUGCUGGGAUUAUAGGUGUAUGCUGCCAUACCCUUCUCCCUGAUUGCAUUUCUUUUUUUUUAAUAUUUAUUAUUUUUUAUUUGUAGUUGGACACAUUAUCUUUAUUUCAUUCUUAUGUGGUGCUGAGGAUCAAACCCAGGUCCUCACACAUGCUUGGCGAGCGCUCUACCGCUGAGCCCCAGCCCCAGCCCCUCCUUGAUUGCAUUUCUAAUAAGAAUUUGCUAGGUUAAACUUUAGUUACAACCAGCCCACCCCAUCCCCAUCUCUUUUUUAACAAUAAACAUUUAUUUCUUGCUCAUUUUAUAUAUGUGCUGCAGACUUCCAAGCAUUGGAUUUUUCUCUGUUCUAUCUAUUGUCUUCAUUCAAAGUAAGAGAGGAAAAAGUAAUAACGAUAUAAUGGUUCUUUUUUUUUUUUGGUAUUGGGGACUGAACCACUGAGCCACAUCCCCCACCUUUUCAGUUUUUAUUUUGGACAGGGCUUCACUAAGUUGCUUAAGCCUUUAUGAAAUUGCUGAGACUGGCCUCGAAUUUGCAAUCCUGCCUCAAUUUCUUAAGCUGAUGGGAUUAUAGGCAUGUGCUACCAUACCUGGCAAUGUGAUGGUUAUUAAAGUUUCUGCUCAGCCUGGGCACAGUGGUGCAUGCCUACUUGGGAGGAAGAGGCAGGAGGAUUCCAAGAUCAAAGUAGCAACUUAGAUCAGCUUAGUGAGACCCUAUCUCAAAAUAAAUUAGAAAAAGGACUGGAGAUGUGGCUCAGUGGGUAAGGGUUCCUGGGUUUAACCCCAGUAGCAAAAAAAAAAAAAAAAGCUCUGCUUAGAUGUGAUUUACAUCACUUCAAUUUAUAGUCCACCAGCCAGAGCAAAUCACGGGACCAAGCCUGAUUGACAUUGAAGUACGCUCCACAAGGGCUGUGAAAAGUCACAUGGCAACAGAUAGGGAGGUAUAAUCCUCCCAUAGUGUGGGGGACAAAUAAUUGAACGAUAAAACAAUUUUACCACACCACUUGUUCUCUGUUUCCUACUCCUAAUUUCUUCUCUUUUUUGACUUCCCCAGAGACUUCUUCCAGGAUUCUCUUGUUUCUCUGUUUUCUUUCCUCUUUGGAGCUCUCAGGUCUUCUGAUAUAUCUAGCCCAUCCUCUCUUGUUUGCCUGAUAACAUCCAUAUACCUGCCCACCUGAAGAUGCAUUUACAAAGGCUUCUUGGAUGACAUUCCUGCAAGCUUAUCUUUCUCAUCUCUCUUUCAACAAGAUUUAUUAACCAAUAUUUAUUGAGCCCCUCCCAAGCAUAGGGGCAAUACACUGAUUUGAUAAGACUUAGUAAGUCCCCUUAAGGAGUCUGCAGUCCCUUGUGGGUAUCUGAGAAAGAUGCAUAUUCUUUGAGAUCAUUUUCUCUCUUUUUUUUUUUUUCUCAGUUUUUCUUGGUUAGUGCCUGGCCUCACUUCUGUUUCUCCAGAAUGCUAUACAUCUCCAUAGCCAAGCAUUCAGGCCUGUAGCAGAGUACCCCAUUGUCCCUUCUAUAAUAGCAAGAGAAAACAAGGCAGAGUUCCCUUGCCUGAUUCCAAACACACAAUAUGUCUGAGAGCUAGGAUCCAGAAACUCUGAAAUUGUUGUUGUUGGAGUAUCCAGUUGGGAUCCAGGUCCUUGGUAUCCCAAACAGAGAAUUGAGGAAGACAUACAGAAGCAUCUGGGCAUGCUGGCACAAGCCUAUAAUCCCAUUGGCUCUGGAGGCUGAGGCAGGAUGAUAGCAAGUUCAAAGCCAGCCUCAGCAAUUUAGCAAGGCCCUAAGCAAUUCAGUGAGACCCUGCCUCUAAAUAAAAUACAAAAACGUGCUGGGGAUGUGGCUCAGUGGUUGAGUGACUCUGGGUCUCUGGUACCAAAAAAAGAAAAAGAAAAAGAAAGACAGACACAGAAAUAGCAGGAAAAUAACAGAUUUAUUAUAGGUGAAGAUAGCACUCCGUAAGGUAGAGAAGAGUGGGCUGACCGAGAGAAAGGCUCAGGUCCCAAUGUCUGGAAAUCAGCUGCUGGGCUGUGAGUCAUUCUCUUUCCUAUACAGACCAAAUUGAAGACCUUACCCUGUUUGCUCCUAUUGGUUACCUUAUGAUACCUGAUUAGAAUAUUCUCUAAUCACCCCCCACAGCAUUGGUUACUUUAGAAACCUAAUUAGAAUACUGCCUACUUUACCACCAUUGGUCCUUUUAAAAUAUUGAACCUGGGCAGGAGUUGUCAUGGUGAUAAGUCCUCAGUGUCAGGAGUUUUCAUAGUAAUGGGACUUAUUGUAAACAGAAACAUGACUUAUCUCCCUGUCUUGUCCAGUGGCAUCUUUUUUUUUUUUUUAAUAUUUUUUUAGUUGUAGAUGGGCACAACACCUUUAUUUUGUUUAUUUAGUUUGUGUGGUGCUGGGGAUCAAACCCAGUGCUUCAUGCAUGCUAGACAAGCUCUCUACCACUGAGCCACAACCCCAGCCCCCAGUGGCAUCUUUCUUAUACCCUGUCUCCACCAUCUUGAUGUCCCUGAACUCCUACUUACCAGAAUCAGAUAGUUCAGAGUUCAUAUCUCGGCAAGUAACAAUUAAACCUCUCUCCUCCUCAAUUUCUUUUUGCCUACCCAAAGGCUUCUAUUCUUAUCAGUUUAUUUGUUGGGCCAAAUCCAUAUCUUUUUUUUUUUUUUUGGUACCGGGAAUUGAACUCAGGAGCACUCGACCACUGAGCCAUACCCCAGCCUUAUUUUGUAUUUUAUUUAGAGACAGGGACUCAUGGAAUUGCUUUAGUGCCUCACCAUUGCUGAGGCUGGCUUUGAACUCGCCAUUCUCCUGUCCCAGCCUCCCAAGCCGCUGAGAUUACAGGUGUGCCCCACCAUGUCCAGCACAACCCAAAUCUUUAUGGCUCUGCAUUUUUCUUACCUUUGAAUACCUUGCAGCUAGUUAUAGGUUAUGCCUUUUCCUUUGCUGCAUAGAGCUUGAGGUCUGACCCAGCAGCCUGAGCCCCUUCUGCUCCCACCCCUCCCAGGUCCUUAGCAUUCUGGUGCUCCCUAUCUUGUUUUUAGGUGAUUAUGAACUGGAUGUCUCCCCCUAUGAAGACCCAGUGACUAGAAAACCCUGGAAAAUGAAUCUCAGCAAGCUGGACAUACUCAAACCAGGUGUGGAAGGCAAGCCUAGGAUGGGAAACUGGGAAGUGGGAGGCUGAGCUGGGCCGAGGGAAGGGUGGCUGGGGGAAGCACAAACUUAGGGGCUUACAGAGUAAGUUUCUAGCCUGCCAGGUGACUGAAUAAACACUGUGUCAGCGUAGAAGUCUGAGUUGUGUUGCAUGGUCUGCUUUCACGGGAGUCAUCAAAAAAAAUAACAAUUAUUAGGCAGGCAUUCAGAGAAAACCCAUUAGUUCCCCUGGUCCCUACAAAGAGGAUGGUGGGAGUGGCAGUAGUUACAGAAAGAAAAGUACAGAAAUGGAAUAUUUAGACACAGCAAGGAAAGUAGCCUUUUUGUCCAUAAAGACUAGAAAAUUGUUUUCAACCAUUCUAAUGGGAUGGGCGAGGUGUUGGGCAGAGAAAAUAAUGAGGUUUUUGACUCCCCACAGGGGUGACUUAGGGUGGAGAGCCAUCAGCCUGGCAAGGACUACAAUGCAUGUUUUUUCAGGAGUGUAAGGUCGAAAGUUAAUUGAAAAAGAACACACAUAUAUGCACUAUUUUUUGAGGAGAAGAAAGCUUUGUUGUAUGGUCAAUUCUGUAAAAAUUAGAAUUUUGAAGCGAGCUUUGUUGUAUAGCUAGUUUUAUGUAUUAGAAUUUCAAGGGAAAACUAGAGAUUUAUACAUGGCAAACUCUUAGUUACAAGGAAUCAGUGAAUGACCUGUUUAAGUUAUUUAGUUGUUCUGGGGCUGAAAUAUUCUUUUUAUAGAAAAAUCAUCAGGCAGCUAGUGAUGGAGCUUAGCAGUAAGGUACAUGCUUAGCAUGCAUGAAGCCCUAGGUUCCCUGGAUUUGAUUCCUAGCAACCUACACUGAGUCCUGAAAAAAAGAAAGGAAGAAGGAGGAAAUAUCGCCAUACUUUUCCAAGACUUGGAAAAGAACUUUUAUGCAUGAAUCAUUAGAUGAAUGAAGGGUAGGUAAUAGUAAAACUGAAUAAAAAGGUACAAACCAAACCUAAAUAGAAUUUAGUUGCAUUUGUUUCCAGCAGUUCAAAAACUGCUAUGGAAUGUUGCAAGACCUCUAUAGGUUAUGAUUUUCACCGUCGGAUCAUACUGCACAGCAUUGAAGGAAGUAUUUUGGUUAUUUGAACUUUGUGGAUGCUUGGUUCUAGAUAAGUGGUUAUUAGAUAUAUAGAGAUGAUGAUGAUGAUGAUGAUGGAUGAUGUUUACCUAGUCAAGAUAAGGAACAGAGUAGAAAAGGCUUCACAGUACCAGAUAGAGUUUGUGGGGAGAGAGAAAACCUUGAAUAGCAGUAGCUUUAUUCAGGAUUUAUUCAAGUCCUCCCUUUCCUCCUACCCCCAUUUCUUCCUUGUUAAAUUGGGUUUGCUGGGGUUCCUUAGGGAUACUGAACUACAGGUGAUGCAGAAAGGAUGUGGUCUAGUGAUUUAGUGCCCUUCUUCCCUACAGACUCCGAUCUCUGCCUCAAGUUUGCUAUGCUGUGUACUCUUAAUGAGAAGUGUGACCGGCUACGCAAGGGUUACGGGGAGGCCUGCUCAGGACACCACUGCCAGCGCCAAGUCUGCCUUGGACAGCUGCGCUCCUUCUUUGAGAGGGCCUCUGAGCCUCAUGCGCAGGGCCUGCUGCUGUGCCCCUGCUUGCCCACUGACCGCGGCUGUGGGGAGCGUAGGCGCAACACUAUUGCUCCCAGCUGCGCACUGCCAACUGAGGCCCCCAACUGUCUGGAUUUGCAGAGCCUCUGUUUCACGGAUCCGCUGUGCAGGUAGGUGCAGGGUCUGGGCUGCAGGAUGGGCGUGGGUGUGACAUGUUCCACUCCUUCUGGCCACCUUCCUGCACCCGUUGGAUCUAACUGCCCUCAGGAAACAGUGGACCCACAAGGCGCUUCGCCUUGGAUAUUUUGUGAAACUCAUAUUAAAAGGAUUAUAGCUUUUGACCUGGUGCGAUGGUCACACCUGUAGUCCCAGCUCUCAGAGGCUGAGGAAGGAAGACUCCUUGCGUCUGAGUUCCAGACCAACCUGGGAAACAUAACAAAACCUCCUUUGUGUAAUAACUUCAGAAAACAUAAACUUGUAUAAAAAAUACCACUUACGGGCACAGUGACACAGGCCUAUAUAAAAAAUACCACUCAAAAUUCCCUCACCUAAAGAUAAUCUACCAUAAUUUGGUAAGCAUUUGCUUCCAGUUAUUUUUCUGGAAAAAUGAAAUGAAGACCCAGUGACUGGAAAAUGAAUCUCAGCAAGCUGGACAUGCUCAAACCAGAUGUGAAGGGCAAGCCAUCACUUUUAGUUCUCUACAAAAACUGGAAUAAUAAUACAGACCUCUAAUCAUGGUUAUAUUACUUAUGUAGAGUACUUAGCCUACUGGGGCAGAGUUAAGUCCUCAAUAAAUGGUAAUGCUAAUUUUGUCAUUUAUUGUCCUUUAAGAACUCCAUGUAUUUAUGUAGGGAGGUUUGCAUUUCAUUGCUGGGGUUUGAACCCAGAGCCUCACAAAUGCUAGGCACUGAAAAUCUGAAAUUACAAUCUGGUUUUCCUGUGUCUUCUCAGUACAAAACAACAAAUUGAACUUAUCAUCUGUUCAAAUAACAUUUUUUGACAAUAAAUGUCAUACCAACCAUGGUAUACAACUUAGAUCUAUUGCUUACUUUUUUGUGACAGGUGAUGCAGUAAGGAAAGUAGCUUUACCUCUUUGAUUACUACUUUCCUUAUCUGCAAAGUCAGGGCUCUCUAUAAUCAGAAUAUUAGCAUUUACUAAGUACUUCCUAUGAGCCAGAUAUUGAUUUAAGUAUUUAACAUGUAUUAACUCAUAUAAGCCUCAUAAGAACUCUGUAAGAUAGAUGCUCUUGUUUUAAUCAUCCUCAGUUUACAAAUGAACAAACCAUAGCAAAGAAUGGUUAAAUAACCACUAAUAGGUACACAGGGAACACAGCUAGUAGGUUAGGUCUGACUUAGAGUCUAUGCUUUUUUUUUUUUUUUUAAUUUUUAUUUUUUAGUUAUUGGCAGACACAACAUCUUUGUUUGUAUGUGGUGCUGAGGAUCGAACCUGGGCCGCACGCAUGCCAGUCGAGCGCGCUACCGCUUGAGCCACAUCCCCAGCCCGAGUCUAUGCUUUUAACUAUUCUGCUGUACUGCCUAUUACUACACUAGUAGCUAAUACUAUUAUAUAACAGGUACUAGGUUAGAUGGCUAAGAUAUUAUCUCUAUCUUCAAGGAGUUCAUAGUAGAGUGGAGGUGACAGAGAAGUAAACCAUUGACCCAAACAGAAAUGUAUUGAAAACUGCAGAAAAACAUACAGAAAGAAAAACACCCACAAUUACAUCACCCAAACAGAACUAGCCUUAUGUAUUGUGGGAUGAAUGUUAAUAAUAAUAUCUGGCUGGGUACUGUGGUGCACACCUGUAGUCCCAGCUACUUGGGAAAUUGAGACAGAAGGAUCAAAAGUUCCAGACCAACCUGUGCAACAUAUCAAGACCCUGUCUCAAUAUAAAAUUUAAAAAUUUUAGUAUACUUCAGUGCCUAAAAUGUGCGAGUCCCUGGGUUCUAUCCCCAGAACCACAAAUGAUAGUAAUAAUAAUAACAUCUAAUAUUUAUUUAUUUAUUUAGCAGUACUAGGGAUUGAACCCAGGGCUGCUCUGCCACUGAGCUAUAUCCUUAGCUCUUUUUAUUUUUUAUUUAGAGGCAGGGUAUUGCUAAAUUGCCAAGGUUGUCCUUGAAUUUGUAAUCCUCCUGCCUCAGCCUCCUGAGACACUGGGAUUAUGGGCACAUGCCACCACACCCAGCUCAUAUCUAACAUUUAUUAAACAAUAUGUGCCAGGCACUAUGCUGGAUGUGAUACAUGCAUUCUCUUAUUUCAUCAAUGAAAAUCUGCCAGGUUGUGCUUUUAUCCUAUUUUAUAGUCUAGGAAACUGGGGUGAAAGAAGCUGUCUAAGAUCUCAUAAUUAGAGAUUAUGAAGCCUAAAUUCAGAGUGAUGUGCUGAAGGCCCUGGGUUAAAAGUGACAGGGGCAGGCUCCACUGAGGAGAAGUUGGGGUGGACCAAGCACUGAAAGCAGAGGAGGAACUGGGGUGACAAUGAGCUUGCCAGGCUAAAGAGCAGCAAGGAUAAAGGCUGCAGGUCAGAUCUUCAUUGGGGACUCUUGAAAUUUCCCUUCUUGAGCCAGGCAUGGUAGCUUAUGUCUCUAAUCCCAGCUACUUUGGAAGCUGAGGCUGGAGGAUCACAAGUCUUCAAAAUUGUGAUUUUUAGACCCUGUCUCAAAAUUAAGAUAAAUAAAUAAAAAGGACUAGGGGUAUAGCCCAGUGGUAGAGUACCCCCUUCAGAACUGCCAAAAAAAAAAAUUUUUUUUCCUUUCUUCCAGAUCACGCCUGGUAGAUUUCCAGACCCACUGCCAUCCUAUGGACAUCCUGGGGACUUGUGCAACAGAACAGUCCAGAUGUCUGCGAGCAUACUUGGGGCUGAUUGGUGAGGCUGGGGCAUAUGUAGAGAACCCACAGGAUGGGCUCACCCUAAAGGAGAGAAUACUCUGAAGACCCAGAUGGUGUGGUCCUGAGAUGGGUGGGAGAGGGUUGGAGCUAAAGGAGGGUUAGCCUGGGCCCUGACAACUGCUUCCCUUUUUCAUCCCACAGGAACUGCCAUGACCCCCAACUUCAUCAGCAACAUCAACACUAGUGUUGCCCUAAGCUGCACCUGCCGAGGCAGUGGCAACCUGCAGGAGGAGUGUGAAGGGCUGGAGAGGUCCUUCUCCCACAACCCCUGCCUCAGUGAGUGUACUCUUGCUCCCAGCCCCUGGGUUGGAUUAGCUAAAGCCUAGGUGAUAGGAGGGGGUCAACUCUGGCCCAGAUUGGUUUCAUCCAUCUCCUCAGAGCAGCCCAAUUCUAUUUUAACUUCCAUAUCCCCAGCCCCAGCCUUUCUUCCUUCUGCCCCUCUCUGAGUAACCCCCAACACUGCCUGUUCAACCUGUCUGGGCUCCUGAGACAUCUCCAGCUUGAGGAGCAAGCAAGCAGAAGGAGAUAUUCCUACCCAUGUGUUCCCCUAGAUCCCAGGGUCCCAUGGCAUUCCCUUUCCUGCCUUGGGAGUCUAGGAAUCUGCUUCCACCAUGUCUUUCCAAUCUUCCUUCUUUCCUCUGCUCAGUGGAGGCCAUUACAGCUAAGAUGCGUUAUCAUAGCCAGCUUUUCUCCCAGGACUGGGAAGACGCCACCUUUUCUGUGAUGGAGCAUGAGGUAGGGCCUCUUCUGCUGUACCCCUUAAACGUUUACUGACCAGCUGGGGAAAACUCAAACUAGGCAAACAAAGGGAUGGGUGCACUUAUUCUAUAGACCUCUAAUGGACACCUCAGGGGCAGGGGGCAGUCUUAACUGAGGCUGAGGUAGUGAAGAGAGGUAAAGAUAGCUCCCUAAAAGAACUCUAUUCCAUUUCUUUCACAGAAAAACUCUGCUCUGAGGCCACAGCCCUGGAUGCCCUUUCUUUUUUCCUGUACAUUUACCUUGAUUCUACUUUGGAGCCUCUGGUAGCUGAAUUUUACCCAGAGGCCUUCUUCCUCACUACCACACCCAGCCUGAUUGCAACCUAUGAAGGGUGAAAAAAGAACAGCAUCCAGAGGAGGUGCAGUGCACAACAUGGCAGCCCCAACCCUACCUGGAACUUGCAGUUGGCUCCAGAUGAGGCCAUAGUAGAUGCUACUGGCUAUGACCUCCAGAUCCUAACUAGCUAACCUCAUUCCUCCACCACUUUUAUCCUCAUUUCUGACUCAGGCUGCCCUCCUUAGGAUUUAAUGGCUAUCAUUUAGCCAUGUCUUCUGGUGGUGACCAGCUCCACUAGGCUCUCUCCUUCCUUUCUCCCAUCCACACAUAAUCAUCCAGAGUCUAACAAAUCAGUCAUUCCUUAUUGCAUUCUUCAGGUAGGCAGGGCUGAAAGUUCUGAGGCAGCCUAGAAAGACAUUUUUCUUGUGAAGAAGGUUGGAGCAAUACUCCUGACCCCUUGUUCCUUCCUUUGAAUGGAGGAUGGAAACCUUCUGCCUGCCCUGCUCUGCCCUGGGAUCCUGGAGAACAUUUGGAAAUCAGGAGCUGAAGCCUUUGGUCCUUGCUUUAUUCCUACUGCUGUUCUAAAGCCCCCUGACCUCUUGGAUCAUGAUUAAACAUUUUGACCCAAGACUUAUGCUCUUUUCCCAUUUUAUCAAAUUUUGAAUUUUUCCAUAAUUUGGGAUGUUAUAGAUACAAGGAUACAGGCCAGAUGGUGAAGAGACACAACUGCUAUAUGAUUUCAGGCAAGGCUCUCAGCCCCUGUGUUCUUUUUAAAUAUUUUUUUAAUUUAUUUUUUAAGUUUUGG
rnacentral:lncRNA from 1 species